rnacentral:rRNA from 1 species
AGUCAAGUAAUUAAGUGCAUGUGGUGGAUGCCUUGGCAGUCAGAGGCGAUGAAAGACGUGAUAGCCUGCGAAAAGCUCCGGGGAGGCGGCAAAUAUCCUUUGAUCCGGAGAUGUCUGAAUGGGGGAACCCACCUACUUUAAGGUAGGUAUUGCAACAUGAAUACAUAGUGUUGCAAGGCGAACGAGGGGAAGUGAAACAUCUCAGUACCCUUAGGAAAAGAAAUCAAUUGAGAUUCCCUCAGUAGCGGCGAGCGAACGGGGAUCAGCCCAUUAAGUUAUGUGUGUUUUAGUGGAACGCUCUGGGAAGUGCGAACGUAGAGGGUGAUAUUCCCGUACACGAAAGGGCACACAUAAUGAUGACGAGUAGGGCGAGGCACGUGAAACCUUGUCUGAAUAUGGGGGGACCAUCCUCCAAGGCUAAAUACUCCUGACUGACCGAUAGUGAACCAGUACCGUGAGGGAAAGGCGAAAAGAACCCCUGUGAGGGGAGUGAAAUAGAUCCUGAAACCGCAUGCAUACAAGCAGUGGGAGCACCUUCGUGGUGUGACUGCGUACCUUUUGUAUAAUGGGUCAGCGACUUAUAUUCAGUAGCGAGGUUAACCGUAUAGGGGAGCCGUAGAGAAAUCGAGUCUUAAUAGGGCGUUUAGUUGCUGGGUAUAGACCCGAAACCAGGCGAUCUAUCCAUGAGCAGGUUGAAGGUUGGGUAACACUAACUGGAGGACCGAACCCACUGUCGUUGAAAAGCCAGGGGAUGACUUGUGGAUAGGGGUGAAAGGCUAAUCAAGCCUGGUGAUAGCUGGUUCUCCCCGAAAGCUAUUUAGGUAGCGCCUCGGACGAAUACCAUAGGGGGUAGAGCACUGUUUCGGCUAGGGGGUCAUCCCGACUUACCAAACCGAUGCAAACUCCGAAUACCUAUGAGUACUAUCCGGGAGACAGACUGCGGGUGCUAACGUCCGUAGUCAAGAGGAAAACAAUCCAGACCGCCAGCUAAGGCCCCAAAAUCAUAGUUAAGUGGGAAACGAUGUGGGAAGGCAUAGACAGCUAGGAGGUUGGCUUAGAAGCAGCCACCCUUUAAAGAAAGCGUAAUAGCUCACUAGUCGAGUCGGCCUGCGCGGAAGAUGUAACGGGGCUAAAACUAUGUGCCGAAGCUGCGGAUUNNNNNNNNNNNNNNNNNNNNNNNNNNNNNNNNNNNNNNNNNNNNNNNNNNNNNNNNNNNNNNNNNNNNNNNNNNNNNNNNNNNNNNNNNNNNNNNAAGUAUGCUGGAGGUAUCAGAAGUGCGAAUGCUGACGUGAGUAACGACAAAACGGGUGAAAAACCCGUUCGCCGAAAGACCAAGGGUUCCAGUCCAACGUUAAUCGGGGCUGGGUGAGUCGACCCCUAAGGCGAGGCCGAAAGGCGUAGUCGAUGGGAAAAUGGUUAAUAUUCCAUUACUUCUGUGUAAUGCGAUGAGAGGACGGAGAAGGCUAAAUCAGCCUGGCGUUGGUUGUCCAGGUGAAAGGAUGUAGGCAUGUAUCUUAGGCAAAUCCGGGGUACUCUAUGCUGAGAUCUGAUAGCAAGCUGUACUUGUACAGCGAAGUGGUUGAUGCCAUGCUUCCAGGAAAAGUCUCUAAGCUUCAGUUACACAGGAAUCGUACCCGAAACCGACACAGGUGGUCAGGUCGAGUAGACCAAGGCGCUUGAGAGAACUCUGCUGAAGGAACUAGGCAAAAUGGUACCGUAACUUCGGGAGAAGGUACGCUGUUGUUGGUGAUGGAACUCGCUUCCUGAGCUGACGACAGCCGCAGAAACCAGGCCGCUGCAACUGUUUAUUAAAAACAUAGCACUCUGCAAACACGAAAGUGGACGUAUAGGGUGUGAUGCCUGCCCGGUGCUGGAAGGUUAAUUGAUGGGGUUAGCGUAAGCGAAGCUCUUGAUCGAAGCCCCAGUAAACGGCGGCCGUAACUAUAACGGUCCUAAGGUAGCGAAAUUCCUUGUCGGGUAAGUUCCGACCUGCACGAAUGGCAUAAUGAUGGCGGCGCUGUCUCCAGCAGAGGCUCAGUGAAAUCGAAAUCGCUGUGAAGAUGCAGUGUACCCGCGGCUAGACGGAAAGACCCCGUGAACCUUUACUGCAGCUUGACACUGAACUUUGACCUUACUUGUGUAGGAUAGGUGGGAGGCUUUGAAGCUGGAACGCUAGUUCCAGUGGAGCCGUCCUUGAAAUACCACCCUGGUAAUGUUGAGGUUCUAACUCUGUCCCGUGAUCCGGGACGAGGACCGUGUCUGGUGGGUAGUUUGACUGGGGCGGUCUCCUCCUAAAGAGUAACGGAGGAGUACGAAGGUGCGCUCAGCGUGGUCGGAAAUCACGCGUAGAGUAUAAAGGCAAAAGCGCGCUUAACUGCGAGACCCACAAGUCGAGCAGGUACGAAAGUAGGUCUUAGUGAUCCGGUGGUUCUGUAUGGAAGGGCCAUCGCUCAACGGAUAAAAGGUACUCUGGGGAUAACAGGCUGAUACCGCCCAAGAGUUCAUAUCGACGGCGGUGUUUGGCACCUCGAUGUCGGCUCAUCUCAUCCUGGGGCUGAAGCAGGUCCCAAGGGUAUGGCUGUUCGCCAUUUAAAGAGGUACGCGAGCUGGGUUUAGAACGUCGUGAGACAGUUCGGUCCCUAUCUACCGUGGGCGCUGGAAAUUUGAGAGGAUCUGCUCCUAGUACGAGAGGACCAGAGUGGACGAACCUCUGGUGUACCGGUUGUGACGCCAGUCGCAUCGCCGGGUAGCUAUGUUCGGAAGGGAUAACCGCUGAAAGCAUCUAAGCGGGAAGCCUACCUCAAGAUAAGAUUUCCCUAGGACUUUAUGUCCUCUAAAGAGCCGUUCGAGACUAGGACGUUGAUAGGUUGGAUGUGGAAGCAUAGUGAUAUGUGAAGCUGACCAAUACUAAUUGCUCGUGAGGCUUGACUAU